UACGUAGGGUGCGAGCGUUAAUCGGAAUUACUGGGCGUAAAGCGUGCGCAGGCCGUUCGUUGUGUCCGUCGUGAAAGCCCCGGGCUUAACCUGGGAACUGCGAUGGAAACUAGCGAGCUGGAGUGUGGCAGAGGGGGGUGGAAUUCCGCGUGUAGCAGUGAAAUGCGUAGAUAUCGAGAGGAACACCAGUGGCGAAGGCGAGUCCCUGGACAACACCUGACACUGAGGCACGAAAGCCGGGGGAGCAAACAGG
rnacentral:rRNA from 1 species